rnacentral:piRNA from 1 species
CGUGGAGAGGAACAAAUCUGAGUCAUUAU